CGGCGUGCCUAAUACAUGCAAGUAGAACGCUGAAGAGAGGGGCUUGCUCUUCUUGGAUGAGUUGCGAACGGGUGAGUAACGCGUAGGUAACCUGCCUGGUAGCGGGGGAUAACUAUUGGAAACGAUAGCUAAUACCGCAUAAAAGUAGUUAUUGCAUGAUAACUGUUUGAAAGGUGCAAAUGCAUCACUACCAGAUGGACCUGCGUUGUAUUAGCUAGUUGGUGGGGUAACGGCUCACCAAGGCAACGAUACAUAGCCGACCUGAGAGGGUGAUCGGCCACACUGGGACUGAGACACGGCCCAGACUCCUACGGGAGGCAGCAGUAGGGAAUCUUCGGCAAUGGACGGAAGUCUGACCGAGCAACGCCGCGUGAGUGAAGAAGGUUUUCGGAUCGUAAAAGCUCUGUUGUAAGAG
rnacentral:rRNA from 1 species